rnacentral:rRNA from 1 species
UACGAAGGGGGCUAGCGUUGCUCGGAAUCACUGGGCGUAAAGGGUGCGUAGGCGGGUUUUUAAGUCAGGGGUGAAAUCCUGGAGCUCAACUCCAGAACUGCCUUUGAUACUGAAAAUCUUGAGUCCGGGAGAGGUGAGUGGGACUGCGAGUGUAGAGGUGAAAUUCGUAGAUAUUCGCAAGAACACCAGUGGCGAAGGCGGCUCACUGGCCCGGUACUGACGCUGAGGCACGAAAGCGCGGGGAGCAAACAGG